GACGAACGCUGGCGGCGUGCUUAACACAUGCAAGUCGAGCGGUAAGGCCCUUUCGGGGGUACACGAGCGGCGAACGGGUGAGUAACACGUGGGUGACCUGCCCUCAGCUCUGGGAUAAGCCUGGGAAACUGGGUCUAAUACUGGAUAUGACUCCACGGUGCAUGUCGUGGGGUGGAAAGCCUUGUGCGGCUGAGGAUGGGCCCGCGGCCUAUCAGCUUGUUGGUGGGGUGANGGCCUACCAAGGCGACGACGGGUAGCCGGCCUGAGAGGGCGACCGGCCACACUGGGACUGAGACACGGCCCAGACUCCUACGGGAGGCAGCAGUGGGGAAUCUUGCGCGAAUGGGCGAAAGCCUGACGCAGCGACGCCGCGUGAGGGAUGACGGCCUCGGGUUGUAAACCUCUUUCAGCUCCGACGAAGCGGAAGUGACGGUAGGAGCAGAAGAAGCACCGGCCAACUACGUGCCAGCAGCCGC
rnacentral:rRNA from 1 species